GAGGAGAGGCGUGUUCUUCCGUGUGCCUUGUUCCCCUGCUCUCUGUUCCUCUCUGUUGCGAGCAAGCUGAAAGAUUGGUCUGAUUUGUUUUGAUCUCUGCUGCCAGGGGCCUUAGGGCAAUGUCAGCGAUCUACAACGUGGCGACAUGAAUGCAGUGACUUAUGAGGACGUGCAUGUGAACUUCACUCAAGAGGAGUGGGCUCUGCUGGAUCCUUCCCAGAAGACACUCUACAAAGAUGUCAUGCUGGAGACCUACAGGAACCUCAAUGCUAUAGGCUUUAGUUGGGAAGUCCAAAAUAUUGAAGAACAUUGUCAAAGUUCUGGAAGACACAGAAGGUGUGAAAGGAGUCAGAGUGCAGAGAAACCUUCUGAAUAUACUCAACGUGGUAAAGCCUUUGCUUUACAUGAUCACAGUCAUGCCCAAAGGCAUGAAAGGAUUCAUACAGAAAAGAUCCCCUCUGAAGUUAUUCACUGUGUCGAAGACUUUUUAGCUUAUACAAGUCUCCAAGUACAUAAAAGAACACAAACUAGACAGACACCCUAUAAAUGUAAUCAAUUCAGUAAAGGAUUUGCAAUGCCCAGUCGUCUUAAAAGGCAUGAAAGAUUUCAUACUGGAGAGAAACUCUACAAAUGUAAUCAAUGUGAUAAAUCCUUUUCAAAACAUAGUCAUCUUCAAAGUCAUAGAAGAACACAUACUGGAGAGAAACCCUACAAAUGUAAUCAAUGUAGUAAAGCCUUUUCUGAGAAAUGUAAUCUCCAAAAACAUACAAGGAUACAUACUGGAGAGAAACCCUUCAAAUGUAAUCAAUGUGAUAAAGCCUUUUAUCAAUACAGUAAUCUUCAAACUCAUAGAAGAACACAUACCGGAGAGAAACCCUACAAAUGUAAUCAAUGCGAUAAAGCCUUUUCUGAGAAAGGUAGUCUCCAAAGACAUAUAAGGAUACAUACUGGAGAGAAACCCUACAAAUGUAAUCAAUGUGAUAAAGCCUUUUCCCAAUACUAUCACCUCCACAUUCAUAGAAUAACACAUACUGGAGAGAAACCCUACAAAUGUAAUCAAUGUGAUAAAGCCUUUUCAGAACACUUUCAUCUCCAAAAUCAUAAAAGAACACAUACUGGAGAGAAGCCUUACAAAUGUAAUCAAUGUGAUAAAGCCUUUUCUAUGAAAUGUCAUCUCCAAAAACAUAUAAGGAUACAUACUGGAGAGAAACCCUACAAAUGUAAUCAAUGUGAUAAAGCCUUUUCUGAGAAAUGUUAUCUCCAAAAACAUAUAAGGAUACAUACUGGAGAGAAACCCUACAAAUGUAAUCACUGUGAUAAAGCCUUUUCUCAAUACAGUACUCUUCAAACUCAUAGAAGAACACAUACUGGAGAGAAGCCCUUUAAAUGUAAUCAGUGUGAUAAAGCCUUUUCUGAGAAAUGUCAUCUCCAAAAACAUAUAAGGAUACAUACUGGAGAGAAACCCUACAAAUGUAAUCAGUGUGAUAAAGCCUUUUCUGAGAAAUAUAGUCUCCAAAGACAUAUAAGGAUACAUACUGGAGAGAAACCCUACAAAUGUAAUCAAUGUGAUAAAGCCUUUUCUCAUAACUAUCACCUCCACAUUCAUAGAAGAACACAUACCGGAGAGAAACCCUACAAAUGUAAUCAAUGUGAUAAAGCCUUUUCUCAAUACAGUACUCUUCAAACUCAUAGAAGAAUACAUACUGGAGAGAAACCCUACAAAUGUAAUCAGUGUGAUAAAGCCUUUUCUGAGAAAUGUAGUCUCCGAAGACAUAUAAGGAUACAUACUGGAGAAAAACCCUACAACUGUAGUCAAUGUGAUAAAGCCUUUUCUGAGAAAUGUCAUCUCCAAAUCCACAUAAGGAUACAUACUGGAGAGAAACCCUACAAAUGUAAUCAAUGUGAUAAAGCGUUUUCUGAGAAAUGUCAUCUCCAAAAACAUAUAAGGAUACAUACUGGAGAGAAACCCUACAAAUGUAAUCAGUGUGAUAAAGCCUUUUCUCAAUACAGUACUCUUCAAACUCAUAGAAGAACACAUACCUGAGAGAAACCCUUCAAAUGUAAUGAAUGUGAUAAAGGCUUUUCCCAAUACUGUCAUCUUCAAAUUCAUAGAAAACACAUACCUAAGAGAAACCCUUCAAAUUUAAUGAAUGUGAUAAAGCCUUUUCCCAGCAUUAUAAUCUACAAAUUCAUAAGAGAAGACAUACUACAGAGAAACCUUACAAGUGUAUUCAGUGUGUGUCCCAAAAAUCCCCCACCCCCCACAUGAUCAAUAAUGUCUCUAUUGUACUUUCUUUUGCACCUGUAUAUGAGAUUCUACAGAAUGCAGUGACUUAUAAAGACGUACAUGUGAACUUCACUCAGGAGGAGUGGGCUCUGCUGGAUCCUUCCCAGAAGAAGCUCUACAAAGAUGUCAUGCUGGAGACAUACAGGAACCUCAUCGCUAUAGGAUUUAAUUGGGACGACAAAAAUAUUGAAGAACAUUGUCAAAGUUUUAGAAGACACACAAGGCAUGAAAGAAGUCAGAGUGCAGAGAAAGCGUCUGAAUAUACUCAAUGUGAUAAAGUCUUUUUUUUUAUGCUCACAAUCAUGCUCAAAGGCAUGAAAGAAUUCAUACAGAAAUGAACCCUCUUGGAAUUAUUCAAUUAGUUGAAGCCUUUGCUCAACAUCGUCUCCAAAUUCGUAAAAGAGCACAAACUGGAAAGAAACUCUAUGAAUGGAAGCAAUGUGGUAAAGCCUUUGAAGAUCACAGUCAUCUUAAAAGCUAUGAAGGAAUUCAUACGCGAGAGAAACCUUAUGAAUGUCAUCAGUGGGAAAAAGCCUUUUCAAGUCACAGUAAUCUCCUACAACCUAAAGGAACACAUACUGGAGAGAAAUGCUAUGAAUGUGAUCUGUGUGGUAAAGCCUUUUCACAACAUAGUCGGCUUAAAAGGCAUGGAAGAAUUCAUACUGGAGAGAAACCCUACAAAUGUGAUCAAUGUGGUAAAGCCUUUUCAGAACACUGUAAUCUCCAAAAGCAUAAAAGAAUACAUACAGGAGAGAAACCCUACAAAUGUCAUCAAUGUGACAAAGCCUUUUUCCAACAUCAUAGUCUCCAAAAGCAUAAAAGAAUACAUACAGGAGAGAAACCCUACAAAUGUAAUGAAUGUGAUAAAGUAUUUAGACAAAGCAGUGAUCUCCAGAAGCAUAAAAGAAUACAUACAGGAGAAAAACCCUACAAAUGUAAUCAUUGUGACAAAGCCUUUUCCCAACAUCAUAGUCUCCAAAUACAUAAGAGAACACAUACAGGAGGAAACUCUACAAAUGUAAUCAAUGUGACAAAGUCUUUUCCAGGCAUAGUACGCUCCAAAUACAUAUAAGAAUACAUGCUGGGGAGAAACCCUUCAAAUGUAAUGAAUGUGAGAAAGCCUUUUCACAACAUAGUAACCUCCAGUUACAUAGAAGAAUUCAUACUGAAAAGAAACCCUACAAAUGUAAUGAAUGUGAGAAAGCCUUUUCACAACAUAGUAACCUCCAGUCACAUAGAAGAAUUCAUACUGGAAAGAAACCCUACAAAUGUAAUACAUGUGAAAAAGCCUUUUCAAAACAUAGUAUACUCCAUUCACAUAGAAGAAUUCAUACUGGAGAGAAAUCCUACAAAUGUAAUUACUGUGAGAAAGUCUUUUUAGGACAUUAUGAUCUUCAAAGACAUAAAGGAAUACAUACUGGAUAGAAACCCGAUGAAUGUGAUCUAUGUGUGAAAGCCCACGUACGUCACAGGAAUCUUCAAAAGCAUAAAAGAAUUCAUACUGUAGAGAAAGCUUAUGAAUGUAUAUAAUAUGGUAAAAUCUACAAAUAUCCAUAGUCUUAAUCAUCAUGAACAUAUUUGUAUUGGCAAGAAACCCUCUGAAUAUUAACUGUGUGCUAAAACCUAUUUCAACACACUUAUCUCCUAAUGCAUCAAGGAGCACAUACUGGGGAGACAGGUUGGGGGCGGGGGUUAACUUAUGAAUGUACACAAUGUGGUAAACCUUUGCAUAUGACAGUCAUCUUUGAACAUUAAAAAAUACAUAAUGUAUUACAGAAUACAAAAAAAAAAACCACUCUGGUGAAACCUUUGUAAAUAAAAUGGUAAGGCCUUGGCAGGUGACAUUUAUCUCGUAAUGUAUGAAACAACACUUGUAAGAAACCUCAUGAAAAUAACCAAUGUGGUAAAGCUUGUGCAUGUACGAGUCAUUCUGAAAAUUAUGAGAAAAGUCCAUGCUGCAGGGAAGCCCUAUAAAUGUAGUCAUUGUGGGAAAAUUUUGCACUUCACAGUGUGGGAACUAGACAUGGUGUAAGGAUGUAAACUCUGAAGUUCAGCCACAGUGACAUAUUUUCUCCAGUAGGGGAGCAUUUCCUUAAUCUCCCCAAAUGACACUACCAACUGAGAAGGAUUGAUUUCUUUGCUUUUAAGCCUUUAUGAUUGCUUUCUGUUACAUGAGCGCAUUCAUGAUGAAGAAAAACUGGGUAAGCAUUCAGGUGCCUCCACUCCUGUGCUAUAGCAAUGAAUUCUUGUAUAAGAAGAACAGCAUGAGAAAAUAUGAGAUUUGUCUGUGGCUUUGUGUGAGGAUGUGCAUGCUGAUUUCCAAGAAAAUUAAGCUGCUGUACCUUCUUAUAGCAGGAAAUGUAGGAAGAUGUCAAACCCUGACCUGGUUCCUGGGAAUAAACUUUUUUUUAAUUGCU